AAGGAAGGACUGAAGACAAAAGAAACUAUGGGCUGCUCUCUCUUUCCCUUUCUUUCUAUGUCACCAUUUUCACUUAAGUGGUUGGUCGAUACAAGGAAUUAACACUAAUGCUAUGUGCAAAUGGGAUAGGAAGAAAUGGCAGCAUGCAUUAUGCACACCUCUCCUCUGCUCAGACUCAAAUUAUCGAAACUUCAGAGGAAAAAUUUAAACUUUCCUACACCAGAAUCAGCUUGAGAGAAGAACCUAGUUGCCACCCCAGCCAGAGGGUUCCUGUGGAAGCCACCAGCACAUUGAGAGAAGGGAAAAUGUGGUUAUUCUGCAUCCAUUUUACUGCAAGGAGAUCGGGGCUGACGUGGCUGGCCAAUUCACAACCUGUCUCUAAUGUAUUCCCAUUUGAGAAACUGAUCAUGGACAGCUAAGUGAAAUGUCUGACUUCUCUCCUGGAGGCUCCCUCACUCUCUUCUGCCAGAAAUGAGACCCGGGGAAAAACAGCGGUAUCAUCUAUA
rnacentral:lncRNA from 1 species